UACGGGGGGGGCAAGCGUUGUUCGGAAUUACUGGGCGUAAAGGGCUCGUAGGCGGCCAACUAAGUCAGACGUGAAAUCCCUCGGCUUAACCGGGGAACUGCGUCUGAUACUGGAUGGCUUGAGUUUGGGAGAGGGAUGCGGAAUUCCCGGUGUAGCGGUGAAAUGCGCAGAUAUCGGGAGGAACACCGGUGGCGAAGGCGGUUCUCUGGGCCUUACCUGACGCUGAGGAGCGAAAGCGUGGGGAGCGAACAGG
rnacentral:rRNA from 1 species